rnacentral:rRNA from 1 species
UNCCAUGUGUAGCGGUGAAAUGCGUAGAUAUAUGGAGGAACNCCGGUGGCGAAAGCGGCUCUCUGGUCUGUAACUGACGCUGAGGCUCGAAAGCGUGGGGAGCGAACAGGAUUAGAUACCCUGGUAGUNCACGCCGUAAACGAUGAGUGCUAGGUGUUAGGCCCUUUCCGGGGCUUAGUGCCGGAGCUAACGCAUUAAGCACUCCGCCUGGGGAGUACGACCGCAAGGUUGAAACUCAAAGGAAUUGACGGGGGCCCGCACAAGCGGUGGAGCAUGUGGUUUAAUUCGAAGCAACGCGAAGAACCUUACCAGGUCUUGACAUCCCGAUGCCCGCUCUAGAGAUAGAGUUUUACUUCGGUACAUCGGUGACAGGUGGUGCAUGGUUGUCGUCAGCUCGUGUCGUGAGAUGUUGGGUUAAGUCCCGCAACGAGCGCAACUCCUAUUGUUAGUUGCCAUCAUUAAGUUGGGCACUCUAGCGAGACUGCCGGUAAUAAACCGGAGGAAGGUGGGGAUGACGUCAAAUCAUCAUGCCCCUUAUGACCUGGGCUACACACGUGCUACAAUGGCUGGUACAACGAGUCGCAAGUCGGUGACGACAAGCUAAUCUCUUAAAGCCAGUCUCAGUUCGGAUUGUAGGCUGCAACUCGCCUACAUGAAGUCGGAAUCGCUAGUAAUCGCGGAUCAGCACGCCGCGGUGAAUACGUUCCCGGGCCUUGUACACACCGCCCGUCACACCACGAGAGUUUGUAACACCCGAAGUCGGUGAGGUANCCUUUUAGGAGCCA